rnacentral:tRNA from 1 species
AAGCCCCGGCACUACUCAAAGCACAUCUGCGGGUUUGCAACCCGCCAUGAAUUUCACUACAGGACU